GGGUAACAUGGUAGCAAUACUGAUGACGACUGGCGCACGGGUGCGUAACACGUAUGCAACCUACCUAUAACCGGGGAACAGCUCAUCGAAAGGUGAAUUAAUACCGCAUAACAUUACGAAACGACAUCGUUUUGUAAUUAAACUUCCGGGGGUUAUAGAUGGGCAUGCGUCCGAUUAGCUAGUUGGCGGGGUAACAGCCCACCAAGGCUACGAUCGGUAGGGGGUCUGAGAGGAUGAUCCCCCACACUGGUACUGAGACACGGACCAGACUCCUACGGGAGGCAGCAGUAAGGAAUAUUGGACAAUGGGGGCAACCCUGAUCCAGCCAUGCCGCGUGAAGGAUUAAGGACCUAUGGUCUGUAAACUUCUUUUAUACGGGACAAAACCCCUCCUCGUGAGGAGGGUUGAUGGUACUGUAAGAAUAAGGGUCGGCUAACUUCGUGCCAGCAGCCGCGGUAAUACGAAGGACCCGAGCGUUAUCCGGAUUUAUUGGGUUUAAAGGGUGCGUAGGCGGAUAAGCAAGUCAGUGGUGAAAUCUCUCCGCUCAACGGAGAAACUGCCAUUGAAACUACUUGUCUUGAGUACAUUUGAAGCGGGCGGAAUGUGUCAUGUAGCGGUGAAAUGCUUAGAUAUGACACAGAACACCAAUUGCGAAGGCAGCUCGCUAAACUGUAACUGACGCUGAGGCACGAAAGCGUGGGUAGCAAACAGGAUUAGAUACCCUGGUAGUCCACGCCCUAAACGAUGAUUACUCGAUGUGUGCGAUAAACUGCACGCGUCUUAGCGAAAGCAUUAAGUAAU
rnacentral:rRNA from 1 species